GAAACUCUGCUUGACUGUAAAGGAUGAAAGACACAAGGCCAUAUCUGUGUUCAUCCUACAAUGUCACUGGCAACAGUGACCUGUGUGUUCCACUGACAAUCUUAGGAUAGAGACAGGGAACUAGAUCUUGAAGAUCAGAUUUAGAGGUUUAUAUGUUUAUAUUUCUAUUCUUUCUACCUCCUUCACUGUUGACGUGGGCUAUGGCUUUCCAGGCAGUUAGCACCUGGUGAUUUGUGAGCUGUGACAAACCACUUAGUUGGAGGAGGUAGUUGAGGUGGAAAGAUAUCUGGCAUCUCUUUGAGAUGGCAGUGAAAUGUAGGUCAUACAACGACUCAGCAGCUCAUGUUUAAAUGCAGAUUAUGGAUGGAACGAGAUGACUUGAUCUCAAGGAUCAGACAGACUUCAAAAUGUCGGCAGGCUAUGUACAUCGGUGGCAGGGGU